GCGUCUGGGAGCUACCAUGCAGCUGAGCGGUAGAGAUCUUUCGGGAUCUUGAGAGCGGCGUACGGGUGCGGAACACGUGUGCAACCUGCCUUUAUCAGAGGGAUAGCCUUUCGAAAGGAAGAUUAAUACCUCAUAAUAUAAUGAAUGGCAUCAUUUAUUAUUGAAAACUCCGGUGGAUAGAGAUGGGCACGCGCAAGAUUAGAUAGUUGGUGAGGUAACGGCUCACCAAGUCGAUGAUCUUUAGGGGGCCUGAGAGGGUGAUCCCCCACACUGGUACUGAGACACGGACCAGACUCCUACGGGAGGCAGCAGUGAGGAAUAUUGGACAAUGGGUUAGCGCCUGAUCCAGCCAUCCCGCGUGAAGGACGACGGCCCUAUGGGUUGUAAACUUCUUUUGUACAGGGAUAAACCUACUCUCGUGAGGGUAGCUGAAGGUACUGUACGAAUAAGCACCGGCUAACUCCGUGCCAGCAGCCGCGGUAAUACGGAGGGUGCAAGCGUUAUCCGGAUUUAUUGGGUUUAAAGGGUCCGUAGGCGGAUGUGUAAGUCAGUGGUGAAAUCUCACAGCUUAACUGUGAAACUGCCAUUGAUACUGCAUGUCUUGAGUAAGGUAGAAGUGGCUGGAAUAAGUAGUGUAGCGGUGAAAUGCAUAGAUAUUACUUAGAACACCAAUUGCGAAGGCAGGUCACUAUGUCUUAACUGACGCUGAUGGACGAAAGCGUGGGGAGCGAACAGGAUUAGAUAUUGGGGGUUCCACGAA
rnacentral:rRNA from 1 species